rnacentral:rRNA from 1 species
AUGCCCACUGAUUGUGAUGUUCAUUCUGUGGGGAAUUUUGUUUACUUUUUAUAUUUUGUGCAUUUUCUAUUUCAUGUAUUGGUCAGUGGUCCUAAAUCCCAUGUGAUUUCUUCAUUCUUCAGGCAAAUUACAUAUCAGGAGAGCCAUUUAUUAGAGGAUCUUCUAAAAGGCUUUUUACAUUUGGUUCCUGAUGUUCUGCUUCUCGGGGAAGAAACUGUAUUGAACUUGCAUAAUUUUUCUUCAGAAAUAGUAUUGAAUCGGCUACUUGUUGGCAAUUUCAUGUUACAAAGUCGUCAUUAA